AGGUGACGUCGUUGAGGAGAAGUGGGAACGGCGGGGAGGUGACGCCGUGAGGAGAAGUGGGAACCGGGAAGGUAACACCAUUGAGGAGAAGUGGGAACGGCGGGAAGGGCAUGUGCGCACCACCCUCGGGCAUCAUCCUGGAAACUGCGGGAACCCAGCUGCCAGGUUGCUGAUAUGCUCCACGUUCAGGGGCUGUCCCAUCAGGAAAGGUGCCUGUGGGGGUGAGGAGCCCCUCUUCUGAUCCUCCUGCUUUCCUGGGGGGUGAAGCUGCUUUCCCUGAAAACAUCAGGCCCCCCUCCCAGCUGCCAGACCCCACAGUGUGGUCUUUGUCCCCAGGGGCAGUGCUUUCUGCCCCUUUUGUUCUCUGCUGAUCCCCAGAGCCUGGCCCUGCACAGGGCGUCGGUGAUGUCUGUGGAUUAGAGAUCUGCUCCCCUGUGCCUCCACAGGGGAGGGCCACACAUGCAUACAUGUGCACACUCACACACACAGGGUCACACACAUGAUCAUGCUUACAUGUCACACACCAUACACACACACUCUUGUGUACACAUGGUACACACUUACCCUAGUGCAGCCACACAGUUCACACCCACCAACCCCCUCCUGCUGACACUCUCACAGUCACACACAUGCAUUCACCAUGCCCUCCCCCAGUGGGCUCUGGGAUUCCACCAACCGUAGCUGGGUGGCACCCCGUGGCCUUCACCACUGCGUGGCCCAACACACAAAGGAGGCCUGGGGCCUCUCCCGACUCUAGGAUCAGCCCUUCCUGGUUCCCUGGGCCAACAUUCUCCUGCAGGCCCAGUCUCCGUCGGCCCUCACACGUGGGGAUUCCAGCCCAGCCCCCUUUCCCAGACUCCACACUUGGAUUCUCAAGCCAUAGGUAAAGUAGCCGUGCCGGCACUGACUGGCCCCAAAGUGGAGCCGAUGCCACAAAGCGCUGCUGGGCCAGACACCAGCCAGGCAGAGUGAGGACAGCACAGGCCCCUGGGACAGCGGUGCAGGUCGGCUUCCAGCCGACUUUGGGGUCCCCAGGACCCUGCCUUUCUGGAGGGGUCACCAAGCCAGGGCUGGGCUCCACCUGGCCAUUUGUGAGAUGUGCAGCUUUUUGCGCUGGUGCUGCCCCUGGGGCAGUUUAAACAGCGGUGGUGGGAGGGUGUGCAAAUGCUUCCAACCAGGGGCUUCAUUUUCGCUUUUUCCUGGAGAGCCUGCUUGCCAGCACCCUGCUACCAGGGACCCUCCGUGCCUCCCCAACUCCACCCAACCCCUUCUCCAGCUCCCCUAGGGGAGGGCGGCACCUUGCUCUUCUGAGCGGAGCCGAGGAGAGCCAGGACCCUGCACAUCACCACGUUCCUCCUGCCCCUGGCUUCUGCUUGCCUGUCCCCAGAAGCUGGGAUUCCAGGUCGAUUUCAACUAAGCUCUUUUUUAAGUACAUACACACCAGUGGGAUUUGAUUACUGGCCUCACCUGCGCUGGAAGAAGCUCUAUCUUUAACUUCUGUUCUGCCCAUUCUGCUCAUGUAUAUAUUCCAAGAUGUUUUAAACAACAAUUCGACCAUCUAUUACAAAUGUUCAGAAUUCUCACCACCUUCUGGUUAAGCAAGUGUCAUGGAUUGAACUGUGUCCCCCUGAAACUCUUAGGCUGGAGUCCUAGUCCCACAGCCUCAGAAUGUGACCUUAUUUGGAGACAGGGUCUUCACAGAGCUGAUCCGUUUAACAGGAGGUCCCAGGGUGGGCCCUAAACCCCAUGGCUGGUGUCCGUAGAAGAUGGGCACAUUUGGACACUGAGACACAGACAAGAAGAUGACCACAUACGGCCACACGGGAUGCCCUCCGAGGAACCAGCUCCGGCCGCACCUUGAUCUUGGCCUUCCCGCCUCCUUUCCCGCUGUUUAAGCCGCCUGUGAGAGUGCCCCAUGAUGGCAACGCCAGCGGGCACAUAUACAGCAGGCCUCUGGGGUCCAGCCUGGGAGCCCAGACACAGACACCGUCUCUACCUGGCAAGAUGGGGUGACGAAAUGAGAAAUGAAUAGAUCUGGUCUCUGCUCCCGAGACCCAGCACAGGGCUCCAAAAGCCCUCGAAUUUCCUGGGUGAUGGCAGCAGAUUCUUUUGUUCAAAUGAGGUGAGGCUUGGUGGCUCCUGGAGGGGGGCCGGUCACCAGAGAGACCAGCCAGGAUUAGCACCUGCAGCUCUCAACCCUGCCCCCACCCUCCUCCGGGGAUCAUCCACCAUCAUCCUUCACGUCUGUGAUGGAGCCUCCAUAAGAAUGCUUGGACUACGGGUCCGGAGCAGUUCCAGGUUGCUGAACACAUCCACGUGCCAGGAGGGUGGUGCCCCCCACUCCACAGGGACAGAAGCUCCUGGGCUGGGGACCCUUUCAGACCCUGCCCUGUGCCCCGCCCACCUGGCUGCCCAUCUGCGGCCUUUCUUGUCUCCUUUUCCUGCGUUCUGUGAUAAUUUUGUAUUGCACUCUUGAUAUUUAAGGCUAAUGUGUAACUAGAAAACUGAGUUUUAAUAUUUAAUGCCCUUGGAUUUGGGAAAUCUCUUACUACAUUAUGUUUGGAUAUACUUUCUCUGUGGAGAUAAAUAUUUUAUCGAGGCUGU
rnacentral:lncRNA from 1 species